rnacentral:rRNA from 1 species
GACGAACGCUGGCGGCGUGCCUAAUACAUGCAAGUUGAGCGCUGAAGGCUGGUACUUGUACCAACUGGAUGAGCAGCGAACGGGUGAGUAACGCGUGGGGAAUCUGCCUUUGAGCGGGGGACAACAUUUGGAAACGAAUGCUAAUACCGCAUAAAAACUUUAAACACAAGUUUUAAGUUUGAAAGAUGCAAUUGCAUCACUCAAAGAUGAUCCCGCGUUGUAUUAGCUAGUUGGUGAGGUAAAGGCUCACCAAGGCGAUGAUACAUAGCCGACCUGAGAGGGUGAUCGGCCACAUUGGGACGGAGACACGGCACAAACGCCCACGGGAGGCAGCAGUAGGGAAUCGUCGGCAAUGGACGGAAGUCUGACCGAGCAACGCCGCAGGAGUGAGGAGGGUUGUCGGAUCGUAAAACUCUGUUGGUAGAGAAGAACGUUGGUGAGAGUGGAAAGCUCAUCAAGUGACGGUAACUACCCAGAAAGGGACGGCUAACUACGUG